AACGAACGCUGGCGGCAUGCCUAACACAUGCAAGUCGAUCGAGACCUUCGGGUCUAGUGGCGCACGGGUGCGUAACGCGUGGGAAUCUGCCCUCUGGUACGGAAUAACUCAGGGAAACUUGAGCUAAUACCGUAUAAUGACUUCGGUCCAAAGAUUUAUCGCCUGAGGAUGAGCCCGCGUCGGAUUAGCUAGUUGGUGAGGUAAAAGCUCACCAAGGCGACGAUCCGUAGCUGGUCUGAGAGGAUGAUCAGCCACACUGGGACUGAGACACGGCCCAGACUCCUACGGGAGGCAGCAGUGGGGAAUAUUGGACAAUGGGCGAAAGCCUGAUCCAGCAAUGCCGCGUGAGUGAUGAAGGCCUUAGGGUUGUAAAGCUCUUUUACCCGGGAUGAUAAUGACAGUACCGGGAGAAUAAGCCCCGGCUAACUCCGUGCCAGCCGCCGCCGUAACAC
rnacentral:rRNA from 1 species